UUUCUUUUAAUAGAAUCAACUCAGUUGUUAGUCAAGAUUAAACCUUCAAAAGAUUUAGAUGAUAUGCAGUGAUACAUUGCGCUUUCGUUUCCUGCAAGUAAAGGAUAUAGGGAUUCAAGAUUCUAAUCCUAAAAUAUAGCUGCUUCUUAAAAUAUGCUUAAGACAUCUGUAGAAUGUCUACAGCAUAUAUGAUUUCAUUACAAGUGAUGGGAAAGGGACUGAAAUGGUAGAACCAUUCCCAGCUUCAUGUCCCAGUUUGCUUCACCAAGUUGCUUACCCUAACAAAUGGCGUCCGGUACGAGAAAUUUCUGCGGCUUGAACUCCUUACUCGUACGAGCCACCUAAAGAGCUUUUCCUGCUUGUCGAGAGUUUAAAAAACUCCCCUCUUCAGUCAGCAUUUUUCUCGGCGAAGGCCUCUUGUGAGAAAAUUCCUCCAGUCUUUUCAAAUGCCGCAAUC
rnacentral:lncRNA from 1 species